UAUGUGAUCGUCUCUCGCAUAUCAAUAAGCGGAGGAAAAGAAACUAACAAGGAUUCCCCUAGUAACGGCGAGUGAAGCGGGAAGAGCUCAAAUUUGAAAUCUUAAAGGGUUUCCCUUUACGAAUUGUAGUUUAAAGAAGUGUUUUCUGUUGAGGUUUUGGUAAAAGUUCUUUGGAAUAGGACAUCAUAGAAGGGUGAGAAUCCCGUAUUUGACCUUUACUUUCAACUUUGUGAUACACUUUCAAGGAGUCGGAUUGUUUGGGAAUGCAGUCCAAAAUGGAUGGUAAAUUUCAUCUAAAGCUAAAUAUUGGCGAGAGACCGAUAGCGAGCAAGUACCGUGAGGGAAAGAUGAAAAGAACUUUGAAAAGAGAGUUAAACAGUACGUGAAAUUGUCAAAAGGGAAGCGUUUGACACCAGUGUUGUUUUUCUGAAAAUCAAUUAAAGAACUGUUUAUGCUAAGCUGUUUAGACUUUAUCAGCUAUCUGUUUAGUUUUGAGCUUUUCCUUAAUGCACUUUUCAGUUAACAAGUCAACAUCAAUUUCUUUUGCUGUAAAAAAGCUUGAGGAAGGUGGCUUGAGAUUCGUCUUAAGUGUUUAUAGCCUCUUGCCUAUGCAGUCGGAGAGAUUGAGGUCUGCAGCGUAGAUCCUUCGGGGCUAAAUGCAUUUGUGCUAAGUUAUAGCAUUUUAUAGACAACUUGUUGACUAUGAUUUGUCUUGUAGCUUACUCGCUUAUGUUAUUUUACCUACGCUUAGGAUGUUGAUCUACAGAGCGAGAGU
rnacentral:rRNA from 1 species